rfam:Erythranthe guttata cultivar DTN x IM62 scaffold_4_contig_108, whole genome shotgun sequence.
AGAAGAAUAACAGCGUAGUUCUCCUCUGGCAGAAUAAAAUGUCGUUGCAUUUCAAAAUGUAACGAGUUCUGCCAAAGGAGAAUUGCCCUGCCAUUCUACA